rnacentral:rRNA from 1 species
AGUGAACGCUGGCGGCAGGCCUAACACAUGCAAGUCGAACGGCAGCACAGGAGAGCUUGCUCUCUGGGUGGCGAGUGGCGGACGGGUGAGGAAUGCGUCGGAAUCUGCCUAUUUGUGGGGGAUAACGUAGGGAAACUUACGCUAAUACCGCAUACGACCUACGGGUGAAAGUGGGGGACCGCAAGGCCUCACGCAGAGAGGUUAGCCGACGCCGGAUUAGCCAGUUGGCGGGGUAAAGGCCCACCAAGGCGACGAUCCGUAGCUGGUCUGAGAGGAUGAUCAGCCACACUGGAACUGAGACACGGUCCAGACUCCUACGGGAGGCAGCAGUGGGGAAUAUUGGACAAUGGGCGCAAGCCUGAUCCAGCCAUGCCGCGUGUGUGAAGAAGGCCUUCGGGUUGUAAAGCACUUUUGUCCGGAAAGAAAAGCAUUCGGCUAAUAACCGGGUGUUAUGACGGUACCGGAAGAAUAAGCACCGGCUAACUUCGUGCCAGCCGCCGCAGUAAAAC